AGAUCUUCUUUGUGACAAAUGCCAGCUGAUGGUGGCAGCCGGCGUGCAAGAUUUCAGUCCUGCCAUGUUCAGCACUUGGGACACAGGUGACAGGAUGGUGACUGCAAAAUUUUCUCUUCUGUGACGUUAAUUACAGGUAGGAUCAAGAGGAAGAUGGCAGAUGCGCUAUAGGAGCAAUAGGGUGAAAGAUAAAUCCAGCCAACCAGCUUUACCAUCCAAGCUAUGAUUAAAAGAUACGACACAUAAACAUCCUUUUGCAUAGAAGUUUCGGGAAGAAGCUUCAAACGACAAAUUGUGAGACAGCUGAUCUGGUCCCUCAGGUUUUUCCAGAUGGCAUUUAGUUAGUCUGAUCUUUAUUCCUGACUGGUGACAGCUUGAUGGGUGACAUCAGGCAAAUCACACCCCUCUAUGCCUCACUUUUCCUGUGCACAAUUGUAUUUACCCAGUGUUUGGUGAGCUCUGUUAAGAGCUGGGUAGCAUUUGACCACUAACUGCUUGCUGGAAUUUCAUUUAUAUUGCAUCUUAUGACAGCAUUUUGUAAUGUGCAACCAUUUAAAAGCUAUUUUUUACUCUGAAAAAAAAUCUGCUGAUACUGAGGCUCAAGAAAUUCUCUCUCCUGUCCAAAAUAAAAUAAAAGAUGUGAAUUUUCAUAAUCUGGAAACAGGGCUGUUCCCAGAACCUUCCCUUUCUACUCAGGAGAGAGAAGAUUGCCCACUUCAACACAAACAUUGCU